rnacentral:rRNA from 1 species
UACAGAGGGUGCGAGCGUUGUUCGGAAUUAUUGGGCGUAAAGGCGCGUAGGCGGCGCGGUAUGUCACCUGUGAAAUCUCCUGGCUCAACUGGGAGCUUGCAGGCGAAACUGCCGUGACUGGAGUGUGGGAGAGGUGCGUGGAAUUCCCGGUGUAGCGGUGAAAUGCGUAGAUAUGCGGAGGAACACCGAUGGCGAAGGCAAUCCCCUGGGCCUGCACUGACGCUCAUGCACGAAAGCGUGGGGAGCAAACAGG